CUGGCUCAGAUUGAACGCUGGCGGCAUGCCUUACACAUGCAAGUCGAACGGCAGCGCGGGGCAACCUGGCGGCGAGUGGCGAACGGGUGAGUAAUAUAUCGGAACGUACCCUGGAGUGGGGGAUAACGUAGCGAAAGUUACGCUAAUACCGCAUACGAUCUAAGGAUGAAAGUGGGGGAUUCGCAAGAACCUCAUGCUCCUGGAGCGGCCGAUAUCUGAUUAGCUAGUUGGUGGGGUAAAGGCCUACCAAGGCAUCGAUCAGUAGCUGGUCUGAGAGGACGACCAGCCACACUGGAACUGAGACACGGUCCAGACUCCUACGGGAGGCAGCAGUGGGGAAUUUUGGACAAUGGGCGCAAGCCUGAUCCAGCAAUGCCGCGUGAGUGAAGAAGGCCUUCGGGUUGUAAAGCUCUUUUGUCAGGGAAGAAACGGUGAAGGCUAAUAUCNUUUGCUAAUGACGGUACCUGAAGAAUAAGCACCGGCUAACUACGUGNNNGCAGCCGCGGUAAUACGUAGGGUGCAAGCGUUAAUCGGAAUUACUGGGCGUAAAGCGUGCGCAGGCGGUUUUGUAAGUUUGUCGUGAAAUCNNNGGGCUC
rnacentral:rRNA from 1 species